GCCAGACUCCUACGGGAGGCAGCAGUGAGGAAUAUUGGUCAAUGGGCGGGAGCCUGAACCAGCCAAGUCGCGUGAGGGAAGACGGUCCUAUGGAUUGUAAACCUCUUUAGGCGGGGAGCAAUGCCGGGCACGCGUGUCCGGAGGGAGAGUACCCCCAGAAUAAGCAUCGGCUAACUCCGUGCCAGCAGCCGCGGUAAUACGGAGGAUGCGAGCGUUAUCCGGAUUUAUUGGGUUUAAAGGGUGCGCAGGCGGAGGUGCAAGUCAGUGGUCAAAUUGCGGGGCUCAACCCCGUACUGCCGUUGAAACUGCAUCCCUUGAGUGCGCGAGAAGUAUGCGGAAUGCGUGGUGUAGCGGUGAAAUGCAUAGAUAUCACGCAGAACUCCGAUUGCGAAGGCAGCAUACCGGCGCGCAACUGACGCUCAUGCACGAAAGCGUGGGUAUCGAACAGGAUUAGAUACCCGUGUA
rnacentral:rRNA from 1 species